GACGAACGCUGGCGGCGUGCUUAACACAUGCAAGUCGAGCGGAGCGGCGAACGGGUGAGUAACGCGGGAGUAACUGCCCCCCUCCCUGGGAUAACAGAUGGAAACGGCUGCUAAUACCGGAUAGUGGGGGAUGGCUGGGGUCCUAUCGGCCUGUUGGUGGGGUAGGGGCCUACCAAGGCGACGACGGGUAGCCGGCCUGAGGGGGCGAACGGCCACAUUGGGCUGAGAUACGGCCCAAACUCCUACGGGAGGCAGCAGGGGGGAAUAUUGCGCAAUGGGGGCAACCCUGAGGAAGCAACGCCGCGUGCGGGAUGACGGCCUUCGGGUUGUAAACCGCUUUCAGCCAUGACGCGGUAGUGGCAGAAGAAGCACCGGCUAACUACGUGCCAGCAGCCGCGGUAAUUC
rnacentral:rRNA from 1 species